CUUUUGUCCGGGAGCAAAUCCCAGUGGUUAAUACCUACUGGGGCUGAGAGUACCGGAAGAAUAAGCACCGGCUAACUACGUGCCAGCAGCCGCGGUAAUACGUAGGGUGCAAGCGUUAAUCGGAAUUACUGGGCGUAAAGCGUGCGCAGGCGGUUGUGCAAGUCUGAUGUGAAAGCCCCGGGCUUAACCUGGGAACGGCAUUGGAGACUGCACGACUAGAGUGCGUCAGAGGGGGGUAGAAUUCCGCGUGUAGCAGUGAAAUGCGUANAGAUGCGGANGAAUACCGAUGGCGAAGGCAGCCCCCUGGGAUGACACUGACGCUCAUGCACGAAAGCGUGGGGAGCAAACAGGAUUANAUACCCUGGUAGUCCACGCCCUAAACGAUGUCAACUAGCUGUUGGGGGUUUGAAUCCUUGGUAGCGAAGCUAACGCGAGAAGUUGACCGCCUGGGGAGUACGGCCGC
rnacentral:rRNA from 1 species